CGCCCCCAUUGGAAAAUUUUUCUAAGGGGUAAUAGUCACCUAAACUUUGGUGGCAACAUCAACAAUGUGCGGGAACGUUCCCUAGGGAACAACCCGCAGUCAGGUAUUACAAUACUUGGCCCACAGACUAAAUGUUGAUGGGUUCUACUUGCAAUGAAAGUGGAAUUUAUGAUAUAGUCGGUCCUUGGGGGCAAACCCCGGGGAGAAACGUUCCGUAGGUGAACCUGCGGAAGGAUCAUUA
rnacentral:rRNA from 1 species